AAUUGCUAGUAAUCGCAGAUCAGCAUGCUGCGGUGAAUACGUUCCCGGGCCUUGUACACACCGCCCGUCACACCAUGAGAGUCGAUAACACCCGAAGCCUGUAGUCUAACCAUAAGGGGGACGCAGUCGAAGGUGGGAUUGAUAAUUAGGGUGAAGUCGUAACAAGGUAAC
rnacentral:rRNA from 1 species